rfam:Oryza glaberrima chromosome 7 Oglab07_0046_1, whole genome shotgun sequence.
AUUAAAAUAAACUCUGAAUUUCCGUGUCCAAUGUUCCGUCUUAUAUGAAAUUUUUAUAAUUAGUAUUUUCAUUAUUAUUAGAUGAUAAAACAUGAUUAAUACUUUAUACGUGACUUGUCUUUUUAAUUUUUUUUCAUAAUUUUUUCAAAUAAAACGGACGGUCAAAUGUUGAACACAGAAAUUCGAGGUUUGUCUUUUU